rnacentral:rRNA from 1 species
GUGAGGUAACGGCUCACCAAGGCGACGACGGGUAGCUGGUCUGAGAGGACGAUCAGCCACAUUGGGACUGAGACACGGCCCAGACUCCUACGGGAGGCAGCAGUGGGGAAUAUUGCGCAAUGGCCGAAAGGCUGACGCAGCGACGCCGCGUGUGGGAUGAAGGUCCUCGGAUUGUAAACCACUGUCAGGAGGGACGAAUGCCGGGUAACCGGUUUGACGGUACCUCCACAGGAAGCACCGGCUAACUCCGUGCCAGCAGCCGCGGUAAUACGGAGGGUGCGAGCGUUGUCCGGAAUCACUGGGCGUAAAGGGCGCGUAGGCGGCUCGGUAAUUAGGGGGUGAAAUCCCACGGCUCACCCGUGGGGCUGCCUCCUAAACUGUCGGGCUGGAUGUGGAAUUAGGCAGAUGGAAUUCCCGGUGUAGCGGUGGAAUGCGAACAUAUCGGGAAAAACACCAGUGGCGAAGGCGGUCUGCUGGGCCGUCGCUGACGCUGAGGCGCGAUAGCGUGGGAAAUACACUGGAUUACAUACCCUGAUACUCCACGCCGUAAACGAUGGGCACUAUGCGUCAGGUGGAGCGACCCUCUCAGUGCCUACGCUAACCCACUGGGUG